GAUGAAGAACGCAGCGAAAUGCGAUAAGUAAUGUGAAUUGCAGAAUUCAGUGAAUCAUCGAAUCUUUGAACGCACCUUGCGCUCCUUGGUAUUCCGAGGAGCAUGCCUGUUUGAGUGUCAUUAAUAUAUCAACCUCUUCAGCUUAUGCUUGUUGAGUGUUGGAUGGUGGGGGUUUGCUGGUGUCUUAUGAAGUCAGCUCCUCUGAAAUGCAUUAGCGGAACAAUUUGUUGACCGUUCAUUGGUGUGAUAAAAAUAUCUACGCUAUUGACGUCAGUCAGUUCAGCUUCUAACAGUCCAUUGACUUGGACAAAUUUUUCAUUAAUGUGACCUCAAAUCAGGUAGGACUACCCGCUGAACUUAAGCAUAUCAUAAGCGGAGGA
rnacentral:misc_RNA from 1 species